CCCUUGGAUGUCCUGGGCUGCACACGUGCUACAAUGGUUGGUCUAAAAAGCGUCCGCGUCCGAAAGGACGUUGCGGCACAGGGCUUUCACCCUGCGCCCCGGGAAUCUUUGAGCGCCGACCAUGCUUGGGAUAGGCUAUUGUAAUUGUUAGCCUUGAACGAGGAAUUUCUAGUAAUCGCAAGUCAUCAUCUUGCGCUGAAUACGUCCCUGCUCUUUGUACACACCGCCCGUCGCUUAUACCGAUUGGAUGGCCCGGUGAAUGUGUUGGACCUUGCCCGCUACUGCGGGCCCGGGGAAAGACACGUGAAUCUUGUCAUCUAGAGGAAUAAGAAGUCGUAACA
rnacentral:rRNA from 1 species